rnacentral:misc_RNA from 1 species
AUCGUAUCCAUCAGGUAUAAUCGUUCCUGAAAAAAGACGAUUAGCACACGACUUAACUCGAUGGAAAUUGGAAGAAACUGUUUCCCUUUGUUUAAGGUACGCGCGAAGACAUGGAGCAGUCAACAACAAGAAUCGGACAAGGAUUCUUCUUUGCGUCAAACACCUACAUUGCGCUUCUUUGGAACAAAUGACAGAAUUUGA